rnacentral:rRNA from 1 species
GACGAACGCUGGCGGCGUGCUUAACACAUGCAAGUCGAACGGAAAGGCCCUGCUUUUGUGGGGUGCUCGAGUGGCGAACGGGUGAGUAACACGUGAGUAACCUGCCCUUGACUUUGGGAUAACUUCAGGAAACUGGGGCUAAUACCGGAUAUGAGCUCCUGCUGCAUGGUGGGGGUUGGAAAGUUUCGGCGGUGGGGGAUGGACUCGCGGCUUAUCAGCUUGUUGGUGGGGUAGUGGCUUACCAAGGCUUUGACGGGUAGCCGGCCUGAGAGGGUGACCGGCCACAUUGGGACUGAGAGACGGCCCAGACUCCUACGGGAGGCAGCAGUGGGGAAUAUUGCACGAUGGGCGGAGGCCUGAUGCAGCAACGCCGCGUGCGGGAUGACGGCCUUCGGGGUGUAAACCGCUUUCGCCUGUGACGAAGCGUGAGUGACGGUAAUGGGUAAAGAAGCACCGGCUAACUACGGG